UACGUAGGGCGCAAGCGUUGUCCGGAAUUAUUGGGCGUAAAGGGCGCGUAGGCGGUGCGGUAAGUCUUUUGUGAAAUCUCCGGGCUCAACUCGGAGUCUGCAGGAGAAACUGCCGUGCUUGAGUGUGGGAGAGGUGAGUGGAAUUCCCGGUGUAGCGGUGAAAUGCGUAGAUAUGCGGAGGAACACCGAUGGCGAAGGCAAUCCCCCUGGGCCUGCACUGACGCUCAUGCACGAAAGCGUGGGGAGCAAACAGG
rnacentral:rRNA from 1 species